CAGUCGCCGCGGGAAAACGAAGGGGGCUAGCGUUGUUCGGAAUUACUGGGCGUAAAGCGCACGUAGGCGGACAUUUAAGUCAGGGGUGAAAUCCCGGGGCUCAACCCCGGAACUGCCUUUGAUACUGGGUGUCUAGAGUAUGGAAGAGGUGAGUGGAAUUCCGAGUGUAGAGGUGAAAUUCGUAGAUAUUCGGAGGAACACCAGUGGCGAAGGCGGCUCACUGGUCCAUUACUGACGCUGAGGUGCGAAAGCGUGGGGAGCAAACAGGAUUAGAUACCCCGGUAGUCCCUGUCUCUUAUAC
rnacentral:rRNA from 1 species